CGCGCAGGCGGUCGUUCAAGUCGAGUGUGAAAUCCCCCGGCUCAACUGGGGAGGGUCACUCGAUACUGAUCGACUCGAAGACAGGAGAGGGAAGCGGAAUUCCCGGUGUAGUGGUGAAAUGCGUAGAUAUCGGGAGGAACACCAGUGGCGAAGGCGGCUUCCUGGCCUGUUCUUGACGCUGAGGCGCGAAAGCUAGGGGAGCAAACG
rnacentral:rRNA from 1 species